AGAUUGAACGCUAGCGGCAUGCCUAACACAUGCAAGUCGGAACGGUAACAGGCCCUUCGGGGUGCUGACGAGUGGACGGACGGGUGAGUAAUGCGUAGGAAUCUACCCACGAGUAGGGGGAUAGCCCGGAGAAAUCCGGAUUAAUACCGCAUAUGACCCGUACGGGGUAAAGCGGGGGAAUCGUAAGACCUCGCGCUGGUGGAUG
rnacentral:rRNA from 1 species